UUGGGAUUCGACGGGGAUAGUUCGAGCGUCAGUAGCGAGCCGAGGGGUUGCGACUCUCGUUAAACACGCAAAUGCCAAAUGUAACUGGCAAAAACGAAAACUUUGCUCUGGCUGCUUAAUUAAGCGACCAGGAUCCGCUUCUCCAUCGCCCAUGUGGAGCUGUCGGGUCUCAUACCUUAGUGGGCUAGCUGCCUGAUCGGCCACUGGUCAGAAAGCGAAUCUCAAGUGGCUAGUCUCUGGUA
rnacentral:tmRNA from 1 species